UACGUAGGGGGCAAGCGUUGUUCGGAAUUACUGGGCAUAAAGGGUGCGUAGGUGGUUUGUUAAGUCAGACGUGAAAUCCCCCGGCUUAACCUGGGAACUGCGUCUGAUACUGGACGGCUUGAGUAUGGGAGAGGGAUGUAGAAUUCCAGGUGUAGCGGUGAAAUGCGUAGAUAUCUGGAGGAAUACCGGUGGCGAAGGCGGCAUCCUGGACCAUUACUGACGCUGAGGCGCGAAAGCUAGGGGAGCAAACGGG
rnacentral:rRNA from 1 species